rnacentral:tRNA from 1 species
CCGGGUGUAGCUCAGUUUGCGAAGAGCGCUUGCUUUGGGAGCAAGAGGCCCUAGGUUCGAAUCCUAGUACCCGGACCA